rnacentral:rRNA from 1 species
CAGUAGCCGCGGUAAUACGUAGGGUGCGAGCGUUAAUCGGAUUUACUGGGCGUAAAGCGUGCGUAGGCGGCUUUUUAAGUCGGAUGUGAAAUCCCUGAGCUUAACUUAGGAAUUGCAUUCGAUACUGGGAAGCUAGAGUAUGGGAGAGGAUGGUAGAAUUCCAGGUGUAGCGGUGAAAUGCGUAGAGAUCUGGAGGAAUACCGAUGGCGAAGGCAGCCAUCUGGCCUAACACUGACGCUGAGGUACGAAAGCAUGGGGAGCAAACAGGAUUAGAUACCCGUGUAGUCCCUGUCUCUUAUAC